AUUUUUGGCACCCGGAGGCCCCUCGCAAAGUCUCGCCCCAUUCCGAGUCCGGCGGACGAACUUCGCCCGCGCCCCCCACCAAGGCUAUAGCCCACCCGUUUUUUGGCCAUUUUUCCGCUGGGGGGUUUUGGCACCACGACCUUCGGGCGCUUAUUUCUGGGCGCGGCUUUGCCCGCGGCUUAUUUUUGGUACCCCGAGGCCCCUCGCAAAGUCUCGCCGCAUUCCGAGUCCGGCGGACGAACGUCGCCCGCGCCCCCCACCAAGGCUAUAGCCCACCCGUUUUUUGGCCAUUUUUCCGCUCGGGGGUUUUGGCACCACGACCUUCGGGCGCUUAUGUUUGGGCGCGGCUUUGCCCGCGGCUUAUUUUUGGCACCCCGAGGCCCCUCGCAAAGUCUCGCCCCAUUCCGAGUCCGGCGGACGAACUUCGCCCGCGCCCCCCACCAAGGCUAUAGCCCACCCGUUUUUUGGCCAUUUUUCCGCUGGGGGGUUUUGGCACCACGACCUUCGGGCGCUUAUUUUUGGGCGCGGCUUUGCCCGCGGCUUAUUUUUGGCACCCCGAGGCCCCUCGCAUAGUCUCGCCGCAUUCCGAGUCCGGCGGAUGAACUUCGCCCGCGCCCCCCACCAAGGCUAUAGCCCACCCGUUUUUUGGCCAUUUUUCCGCUGGGGGGUUUUGGCACCACGACCUUCGGGCGCUUAUUUUUGGGCGCGGCUUUGCCCGCGGCUUACUUUUGGCACCCCGAGGCCCCUCGCAAAGUCUCGCCCCAUUCCGAGUCCGGCGGACGAACGUCGCCCGCGCCCCCCACCAAGGCUAUAGCCCACCCGUUUUUUGGCCAUUUUUCCGCUCGGGGGUUUUGGCACCACGACCUUCGGGCGCUUAUGUUUGGGCGCGGCUUUGCCCGCGGCUUAUUUUUGGCACCCCGAGGCCCCUCGCAAAGUCUCGCCGCAUUCCGAGUCCGGCGGACGAACUUCGCCCGCGCCCCCCACCAAGGCUAUAGCCCACCCAUUUUUUGGCCAUUUUUCCGCUGGGGGGUUUUGGCACCACGACCUUCGGGCGCUUAUUUUUGGGCGCGGCUUUGCCCGCGGCUUAUUUUUGGCACCCCGAGGCCCCUCGCAAAGUCUCGCCGCAUUCCGAGUCCGGCGGACGAACUUCGCCCGCGCCCCCCACCAAGGCUAUAGCCCACCCGUUUUUUGGCCAUUUUUCCGCUGGGGGGUUUUGGCACCACGACCUUCGGGCGCUUAUUUUUGGGCGCGGCUUUGCCCGCGGCAUAUUUUUGGCACCCCGAGGCCCCUCGCAAAGUCUCGCCGCAUUCCGAGUCCGGCGGACGAACUUCGCCCGCGCCCCCCACCAAGGCUAUAGCCCACCCGUUUUUUGGCCAUUUUUCCGCUGGGGGGUUUUGGCACCACGACCUUCGGGCGCUUAUUUCUGGGCGCGGCUUUGCCCGCGGCUUAUUUUUGGCACCCCGAGGCCCCUCGCAAAGUCUCGCCGCAUUCCGAGUCCGGCGGACGAACGUCGCCCGCGCCCCCCACCAAGGCUAUAGCCCACCCGUUUUUUGGCCUUUUUUCCGCUUGGGGGUUUUGGCACCACGACCUUCGGGCGCUUAUGUUUGGGCGCGGCUUUGCCCGCGGCUUAUUUUUGGCACCCCGAGGCCCCUCGCAAAGUCUCGCCCCAUUCCGAGUCCGGCGUCGAACUUCGCCCGCGCCCCCCACCAAGGCUAUAGCCCACCCGUUUUCUGGCCAUUUUUCCGCUGGGGGGUUUUGGCACCACGACCUUCGGGCGCUUAUUUUUGGGCGCGGCUUUGCCCGCGGCUUAUUUUUGGCACCCCGAGGCCCCUCGCAAAGUCUCGCCGCAUUCCGAGUCCGGCGGACGAACUUCGCCCGCGCCCCCCACCAAGGCUAUAGCCCACCCAUUUUUUGGCCAUUUUUCCGCUCGGGGGCUUUGGCACCACGACCUUCGGGCGCUUAUGUUUGGGCGCGGCUUUGCCCGCGGCUUAUUUUUGGCACCCCGAGGCCCCUCGCAAAGUCUCGCCGCAUUCCGAGUCCGGCGGACGAACUUCGCCCGCGCCCCCCACCAAGGCUAUAGCCCACCCGUUUUUUGGCCAUUUUUCCGCUGGGGGGUUUUGGCACCACGACCUUCGGGCGCUUAUUUCUGGGCGCGGCUUUGCCCGCGGCUUAUUUUUGGCACCCCGAGGCCCCUCGCAAAGUCUCGCCGCAUUCCGAGUCCGGCGGACGAACUUCGCCCGCGCCCCCCACCAAGGCUAUAGCCCACCCGUUUUUUGGCCUUUUUUCCGCUGGGGGGUUUUGGCACCACGACCUUCGGGCGUUUAUGUUUGGGCACGGCUUUGCCCGCGGCUUAUUUUUGGCACCCCGAGGCCCCUCGCAAAGUCUCGCCCCAUUCCGAGUCCGGCGGACGAACGUCGCCCGCGCCCCCCACCAAGGCUAUAGCCCACCCGUUUUUUGGCCAUUUUUCCGCUGGGGGGUUUUGGCACCACUACCUUCGGGCGCUUAUUUUUGGGCGCGGCUUUGCCCGCGGCUUAUUUUUGGCACCCCGAGGCCCCUCGCAAAGUCUCGCCGCAUUCCGAGUCCGGCGGACGAACUUCGCCCGCGCCCCCCACCAAGGCUAUAGCCCACCCGUUUUUUGGCCAUUUUUCCGCUGGGGGGUUUUGGCACCACGACCUUCGGGCGCUUAUUUUUGGGCGCGGCUUUGCCCGCGGCUUAUUUUUGGCACCCCGAGGCCCCUCGCAAAGUCUCGCCGCAUUCCGAGUCCGGCGGACGAACUUCGCCCGCGCCCCCCACCAAGGCUAUAGCCCACCCGUUUUUUGGCCAUUUUUCCGCUGGGCGGUUUUGGCACCACGACCUUCGGGCGCUUAUUUUUGGGCGCGGCUUUGGCCGCGGCUUAUUUUUGGCACCCCGAGGCCCCUCGCAAAGUCUCGCCGCAUUCCGAGUCCGGCGGACGAACGUCGCCCGCGCCCCCCACCAAGGCUAUAGCCCACCCGUUUUUUGGCCAUUUUUCCGCUGGGGGGUUUUGGCACCACGACCUUCGGGCGCUUAUUUUUGGGCGCGGCUUUGCCCGCGGCUUAUUUUUGGCACCCCGAGGCCCCUCGCAAAGUCUCGCCGCAUUCCGAGUCCGGCGGACGAACUUCGCCCGCGCCCCCCACCAAGGCUAUAGCCCACCCGUUUUUUGGCCAUUUUUCCGCUCGGGGGUUUUGGCACCACGACCUUCGGGAGCUUAUUUUUGGGCGCGGCUUUGCCCGCGGCUUAUUUUUGGCACCCCGAGGCCCCUCGCAAAGUCUCGCCCCAUUCCGAGUCCGGCGGAAGAUCUUUCGCCCGCGCCCCCCACCAAGGCUAUAGCCCACCCGUUUUUUGGCCAUUUUUCCGCUGGGGGGUUUUGGCACCACGACCUUCGGGCGCUUAUUUUUGGGUGCGGCUUUGCCCGCGGCUUAUUUUUGGCACCCCGAGGCCCCUCGCAAAGUCUCGCCGCAUUCCGAGUCCGGCGGACGAACUUCGCCCGCGCCCCCCACCAAGGCUAUAGCCCACCCGUUUUUUGGCCAUUUUUCCGCUGGGGGGUUUUGGCACCACGACCUUCGGGCGCUUAUUUUUGGGCGCGGCUUUGCCCGCGGCUUAUUUUUGGCACCCCGAGGCCCCUCGCAAAGUCUCGCCGCAUUCCGAGUCCGGCGGACGAACUUCGCCCGCGCCCCCCACCAAGGCUAUAGCCCACCCGUUUUUUGGCCAUUUUUCCGCUGGGGGGUUUUGGCACCACGACCUUCGGGCGCUUAUGUUUGGGCGCGGCUUUGCCCGCGGCUUAUUUUGCACCCCGAGGCCCCUCGCAAAGUCUCGCCGCAUUCCGAGUCCGGCGGACGAACUUCGCCUGCGCCCCCCACCAAGGCUAUAGCCCACCCGUUUUUUGGCCAUUUUUCCGCUGGGGGUUUUUUUACCCUAAGACGUUUUAAUUUUGAUUCGACCACAGAAAAAAACAACUUAAAUAUCCAUUUACGAUGUGAAAUCAUUAAUUAUUUGUUUUAUUAUUAAUUUAUAUUUUACUUUUCGAUUUAAAUAAUAUUUGUGCAAAUAGUUACAAGAAUUCAUGGUGGCUCAACGGUGGGUUUGAAACUUUAUUUGUGAUUUUGACCACCAUGUAAAGGGUUCAAGCUGCAGCUAAAUCUUUGUAUCUUAUUUUCAAAUAUUAAGGCAACUUCCCGCGCAGGUAGCCUCCAAUGAACUGCGGGAAAGGGCAACGGGUAGGGGAUAAGCAAUCGAGUUUUUUUGGGUUAGAUUUUUUGCACCGACACAGAGCAUGGGGAGAUGGACUGAGAUGAUAAGCGUCGGACUUGUUUGGAAAGCCUAGAUUUUUUGCGCGGAUGCAGAACAUGGGAUGGCGAACAUGGGAAACUAUGUUUUGGCAUCAAAAAAAUGAAAAUGGAGAAACCGGAACUUUGAAAACUUAGAAGAAGUGGUAAAAGGCUGCCCAUGCUCGAGGGAAGCUCGCCACCAAGGAGCUUGGUGGGCUUUCUCAACCCACAAUUUUGCGUUUUUCUCACGUUUUGACUAUAUUUUGAACCACGACCCGUUUUUUGGCCAUUUAUUCGCUGGGGGGUUUUGGCACCACGACCUUC
rnacentral:lncRNA from 1 species